rnacentral:rRNA from 1 species
UACGGAGGGUGCAAGCGUUGUUCGGAAUCAUUGGGCGUAAAGCGCGUGUAGGCGGCUUGGCAAGUCCGUUGUGAAAGCCCGGGGCCCAACCCCGGAAGUGCAUCUGAAACUGCCUAGCUAGAGUCCCGGAGAGGAAGGCAGAAUUCCCGGUGUAGGGGUGAAAUCCGUAGAUAUCGGGAGGAAUACCAGCGGCGAAGGCGGCCUUCUGGACGGUGACUGACGCUGAGACGCGAAAGCGUGGGGAGCAAACAGG